rnacentral:rRNA from 1 species
CCCUUAGAUGUUCUGGGCCGCACGCGCGCUACACUGAUGCAUUCAACGAGCCUAGCCUUGACCGAGAGGUCCGGGUAAUCUUUGAAACUGCAUCGUGAUGGGGCUAGAUUAUUGCAAUUAUUAAUCUUCAACGAGGAAUGCCUAGUAAGCGUGAUUCAUCAAAUCGCGUUGAUUACGUCCCUGCCCUUUGUACACACCGCCCGUCGCUCCUACCGAUUGAGUGUGUUGGUGAGGAGUUUGGAUUGGCCUCGGAAGGUGGUUCGCCACCGUCCGUAGCUGAGAAGUUCUCCAAACCGCCCCACUUAGAGGAAGGAGAAGGCGUAACA